GAUGAAGAACGUAGUGAAAUGCGAUAAGUAGUGUGAAUUGCAGAAUUCAGUGAAUCAUCGAAUCUUUGAACGCACAUUGCGCCCCUUGGUAUUCCAUGGGGCAUGCUUGUUCGAGCGUCAUUUGUACUCUCAAGCUCUGCUUGGUGUUGGGUGUUUGUCCUUUCCCUGCGUUAGGACUCGCCUCAAAUUCAUUGGCAGCCGAUAUAUUGGUUUGAAGCGCAGCACAAUUUGCGAUUCGGGCUGGUUAUUGUUGGCGUCCAGUAAGCACAUUUAACACUUUUGACCUCGGAUCAAGUAGGGAUACCCACUGAACUUAAGCAUAUCAAUAAGCGGAGGA
rnacentral:misc_RNA from 1 species